rnacentral:lncRNA from 1 species
CAAGUUACCUGCUUAAUGGUUGAUAAGUGUCUAAUAUAAAUUAAUUUUUAUAUCAAUUUUGCACUUAUCUUAUUUUUAUUUUCUCAAAUAUAUAUGUAGAAAUCAUCCGAAUUUUUUGACUUGUUUUGUAGAUUUUGAUGAUCACAAAGAGUCAAAGAGGAAACAUUGUUGUGUAUGAAAAGUUAUUUAAAGAAAAAAA